rnacentral:rRNA from 1 species
AUUGAACGCUGGCGGCAGGCUUAACACAUGCAAGUCGAACGAGUGGCGGACGGGUGAGUAAUGCUUGGGAAUCUAGCUUAUGGAGGGGGAUAACUACGGGAAACUGUAGCUAAUACCGCGUACCUUAGGAUGAGCCCAGGUGGGCUUAGGUAGUUGUUGGUGGAAAGGAUCACCAAGACGACGAUCCCUAGCUGGUCUGAGAGGGUGACCGGCCACACUGGGACUGAGACACGGCCCAAACUCCUACGGGAGGAAGAAGAGGGGAAUAUUGCGCAAUGGGGGCAGCCUGACGCAGCAAUGCGGCGUGAAUGAAGAAGGCCUUCGGGUUGUAAAGUUCUUUCGGUAGCGAGGCGUUAACUACAGAAGAAGCACCGGCUAACUCCGUGCCAGCAGCCGCGGUAAUUC